CCAGACUCCUACGGGAGGCAGCAGUGAGGAAUAUUGGUCAAUGGCCGAGAGGCUGAACCAGCCAAGUCGCGUGAGGGAAGACGGCCCUACGGGUUGUAAACCUCUUUUGUCGGGGAGCAAAGAGAGUCACGUGUGACUCAUUGAGAGUACCCGAAGAAAAAGCAUCGGCUAACUCCGUGCCAGUAGCCGCGGUAAUACGGAGGAUGCGAGCGUUAUCCGGAUUUAUUGGGUUUAAAGGGUGCGCAGGCGGAGGUGCAAGUCAGCGGUCAAAUUGCGGGGCUCAACCCCGUACUGCCGUUGAAACUGGCGUUCUUGAGUGGGCGAGAAGUACGCGGAAUGCGUGGUGUAGCGGUGAAAUGCAUAGAUAUCACGCAGAACCCCGAUUGCGAAGGCAGCGUACCGGCGCCCGACUGACGCUGAAGCACGAAAGCGUGGGUAUCGAACAGGAUUAGAUACCCGAGUA
rnacentral:rRNA from 1 species